UUUCAGUCAAACAACAUGUGUUCUUAUUCUUUAUCUUUUGAUUUCAACAUCGAUUGUUACUGCUGAUAACAUGAAUAAUAAUAGUGCAAGUGAUGAACAAGAUGUUGUCAACUUUUUAUCUAAAUGUGGGUAUUUGAAACCUUUAAAUAACAACACCAAUUCUAGCAAUACCAUCACAUAUAAAGAAAAUUAUAAUGAAGCCUUACUUAAUUUUCAAGAGUUUUACAAUCUACUUGCAACAGGUGAAAUUAAUCAAAAAACUCUGAAAUUAAUGAAACAAUCACGUUGUGGAUUACCUUAUGCUGUUCGAUGGACCUGGAAACGUUAUUGCUCAUGCAGAUUUCCCUAAUGAUAUAAACGUUACAGAAAUUCAUAUCGAUAAUGCAGAAAGUUAGUCUUAUUCAACAACUGUAGAUGCAUCAUAUUCGGAUUCACCUAGUUUAUUAAAUGUUAUAAUUCAUGAAUUAGGACAUACGUUAGGAUUAGAAAACUCUUCUGUUAAUACAUCAAUAUUGUAUUCAUUUUAUUUAAAUUCAAGGUCUAAAUUAGAUCAAGAUGAUAUUUCGGCAAUACAGAACUUGUAUGGUAUUAAACCAAAACAAAAACCCACUUUUAACGUUUCCACAACAUAAACAACAACAACAACAACAACAACAACGAAAUCAUCCCCACUAUCUACAUCAACCCCUAAAAAUGUACCUCGUCUUCCAAAAGAUAACAACAAAUUUCCAUUCUUAUGUAGUUUACAAACAAUAGAUAAAUUUCUAAUAGUUUAAACACAUUUAUACAUCUUUUAUAAAAAGUGAGUUUGGUUAAUUGAAAUAGGUAAAAAUUUAUAUCCAAAACCUUAUUUAAUUACUGGGUGGUUUCCAUUUUUACUAGAAGAUUUUGAAGAUAUUACAGCAAUUUGUCAUAAACCCUCAACAGAUGAUAUAGUAUUUAUUGUAAAAGCUGAGAUUAUAUUUUUUCAUUAUGUACUUUUAGACUUAAAACUAAUUAUCCAAAAUCUAUAAGCGACCAAUUUCGGCAGCGAUAACAACUUACUCAGGUAGUAUUUAUUUUUUUCUCAGAUAUAAUACAUAUAUCACAUUAUCUAGUUACAUCUCUGGAUUAAUGUUCCUGGUAUAACAAACGAAUUAUUUGAAAGUGUUCCCAAUAAAAUAACAAGAGCAUUUAGAUAUUGAAACGGAAAACUGUAUUUUUUUAAUGAAAAUAAUUACUUUGAAUAUGAUGAGUUUAUUAAUAGUGCCACACAAGCGGGACCUAAAACUUUAUCUAUAUUAAUAUUAAUUGUCCCCGCGAACCCAUCUUAAUUCAGUUAAAGAAUAUGAUAAGUAAACUCUUAAUGAACCUAAUAAUUGAGCCAUGGAAUUUUUUUAUCACCCAUAAAACCGCGUUUUUUCUAGUUUAUUUUUUAACAAACACUUUAUUAAUCUAUUUCAUAUCACCUAAUAAAAACCGCUGCUUUUCUUCAUUUCUGGUUUCCUUUCAGAUUUAUUGUAGAGGUCACAGCUUAAUUUUCGGCAAUUUCAUAUCCGUUUUAUAAUAAUUUAUGAAAAAAUAUCGAAUUUAAUUUUUUUACUUUUUCAUUUAAUUGUGAAGCGUGACUUCUUACAGUUCCAUCUGAUUCAUGACUAUUAAUCUGAUAAUGACUUCUCGUCUUUAUAUCAACCUAGUUCUUUGUUUUUAUUACCAUGUAAUAAGUUUAUUUGUUGCUUAACUGUGACUCCAAAUUUUGUGACAAAUUUAUUUACGAUUUUAACAAUCCUAUUCGAACAACUGAAUUCCUCUCUUAAACCAACACAAAUCAUCUGAUGUUAUUUUUUGGUAAAUUCUUUAAUUUUUAAACUUAUUUACCACGGUUGACUGCUAAAAAAUUGUGUUUAAUUUUUUAGGAAAAUUUCUUAUCAACCAAAAGUCCGUUACAAAAUUCCUACGAUAAGGAAAGCGUGUUAUCUGUUAACCGCAAAAGUUGAUUAUAAUUUUUUUCAACACAUUUCACCAGUUUUAUUAAAACUAUCUUUGUGAAAAGUUGUGUAUGCUCCGCUGUGUAUUUUUUGCAUUUGAAUUUCAAUAAUGGCUGAUUAAUGGUUAAAUCUGAAUAAAACUGUUGCCUGUGAAUAUACUGAUAGAUAUAUCAGUGCCAACGAUUUAGAAGUGGACAAAAAUAUAAAAUCAUCAAUUUAACCAAGGCAAAGACACAACAUGAGGUUAUGAUGGUGGCAUAUCUAGACAACGUCGGUAAAAUUUUUUUACAUAAACGACUAACAGCAGUUAUGAAUGAAACCACAAUUACGACAUUAAUGGAAAGACUUGGAUCUUAUUAAUUUACAGGCACGUGAUGCCCCCAUUUUUAAUUUCGAACGUAUUAUUCUCAAAGAUUAAUGUAAAAUUUUUGGUGUUAUGUUCAGUUCUAUUAAAAACACUGUAACUAAUUUAUGUUUUUUUCUUUUUCAGAUCCUUCACUGCAAGAUCCCGGACGCAGGAACUCAGGAAGAAGAACUCACGCUUCAUAUUUUUAGAUACAUCAUAAUAGUUUUGUAGAACACGUUGUAUUUGAACUAAAUAAAAAAGUAAAUUAAUCGAA